GUUGGGUAGGGGAGCGUUCUGUAAGCCGUUGAAGGUGGCCUGUGAGGGCUGCUGGAGGUAUCAGAAGUGCGAAUGCUGACAUAAGUAACGAUAAUGCGGGUGAAAAACCCGCACGCCGGAAGACCAAGGGUUCCUGUCCAACGUUAAUCGGGGCAGGGUGAGUCGACCCCUAAGGCGAGGCUGAAAAGCGUAGUCGAUGGGAAACAGGUUAAUAUUCCUGUACUGGGUGUGACUGCGAAGGGGGGACGGAGAAGGCUAGGCUAGCCGGGCGACGGUUGUCCCGGUUUAAGCAUGUAGGCGGAGUGACUUGGUAAAUCCGGUUGCUUAUCAACGCUGAGGUGUGAUGACGAGCCACUACGGUGGUGAAGUAGUUGAUGCCAAGCUUCCAGGAAAAGCCUCUAAGCAUCAGGUGACAUUCAAUCGUACCCCAAACCGACACAGGUGGUCAGGUAGAGAAUACUCAGGCGCUUGAGAGAACUCGGGUGAAGGAACUAGGCAAAAUGGUGCCGUAACUUCGGGAGAAGGCACGCUGGCAUUAGGUAAAGAGACUUGCUCUCGGCGCCGAAGCCAGUCGCAGAUACCAGCUGGCUGCAACUGUUUAAUAAAAACACAGCACUGUGCAAACACGAAAGUGGACGUAUACGGUGUGACGCCUGCCCGGUGCUGGAAGGUUAAUUGAUGGGGUCAGCCGCAAGGCGAAGCUCUUGAUCGAAGCCCCAGUAAACGGCGGCCGUAACUAUAACGGUCCUAAGGUAGCGAAAUUCCUUGUCGGGUAAGUUCCGACCUGCACGAAUGGCGUAAUGAUGGCCAGGCUGUCUCCACCCGAGACUCAGUGAAAUUGAACUCGCUGUGAAGAUGCAGUGUACCCGCGGCAAGACGGAAAGACCCCGUGAACCUUUACUAUAGCUUGACACUGAAUAUUGAGCCUUGAUGUGUAGGAUAGGUGGGAGGCAUCGAAGCGUGGACGCCAGUCUGCGUGGAGCCAACCUUGAAAUACCACCCUUUAAUGUUUGAUGUUCUAACUCGGCCCCAUAAUCUGGGGUGAGGACAGUGUCUGGUGGGUAGUUUGACUGGGGCGGUCUCCUCCCAAAGAGUAACGGAGGAGCACGAAGGUUAGCUAAUCACGGUCGGACAUCGUGAGGUUAGUGCAAAGGCAUAAGCUAGCUUGACUGCGAGAGUGACGGCUCGAGCAGGUACGAAAGUAGGUCUUAGUGAUCCGGUGGUUCUGAAUGGAAGGGCCAUCGCUCAACGGAUAAAAGGUACUCCGGGGAUAACAGGCUGAUACCGCCCAAGAGUUCAUAUCGACGGCGGUGUUUGGCACCUCGAUGUCGGCUCAUCACAUCCUGGGGCUGAAGUAGGUCCCAAGGGUAUGGCUGUUCGCCAUUUAAAGUGGUACGCGAGCUGGGUUUAGAACGUCGUGAGACAGUUCGGUCCCUAUCUGCCGUGGGCGUUGGAAGAUUGAGAGGGGCUGCUCCUAGUACGAGAGGACCGGAGUGGACGCAUCACUGGUGUUCGGGUUGUCAUGCCAAUGGCAUUGCCCGGUAGCUAAAUGCGGAAAAGAUAAGCGCUGAAAGCAUCUAAGCGCGAAACUUGCCUCGAGAUGAGUCUUCCCUGGGGCUUUAAGCCCCCUGAAGGAACGUUAAAGACUAUGACGUUGAUAGGCUGGGUGUGUAAGUGCAGCGAUGCAUUGAGCUAACCAGUACUAAUGAUCCGUGAGGCUUAACCUU
rnacentral:rRNA from 1 species